UGGCGGCGUGCCUAAUACAUGCAAGUCGAGCGGACCAAAGGGAGCUUGCUCCUGGAGGUCAGCGGCGAACGGGUGAGUAACACGUGGGCAACCUGCCUGUAAGACUGGGAUAACAUCGAGAAAUCGGUGCUAAUACCGGAUAAUAAAAAGAACUGCAUGGUUCUUUUUUGAAAGAUGGUUUCGGCUAUCACUUACAGAUGGGCCCGCGGCGCAUUAGCUAGUUGGUGAGGUAACGGCUCACCAAGGCAACGAUGCGUAGCCGACCUGAGAGGGUGAUCGGCCACACUGGGACUGAGACACGGCCCAGACUCCUACGGGAGGCAGCAGUAGGGAAUCUUCCGCAAUGGACGAAAGUCUGACGGAGCAACGCCGCGUGAGUGAUGAAGGUUUUCGGAUCGUAAAACUCUGUUGUUAGGGAAGAACAAGUGCCGUUCGAAAGGGCGGCACCUUGACGGUACCUAACGAGAAAGCCACGGCUAACUACGUG
rnacentral:rRNA from 1 species